rnacentral:rRNA from 1 species
CCAAUCGCGUAUAUUAAAGUUGUUGCAGUUAAAAAGCUCGUCGUUGAAUUUCGGGAUCAAUAUGUUGGUCGUGCCAUUGGUACGUACUGGCAUUAUUGGUUUCUACCUUCUGAAGAACCUCGAUGUCAUUAAUUUGGUGUCUUGGGGAAUCAGGACUGUUACUUUGAAAAAAUUAGAGUGUUUAAAGCAGGCUCGCGCUUGAAUACAUUAGCAUGGAAUAAUGAAAUAGGACGUUUGAUUCUAUUUUGUUGGUUUCUAGGAUCGACGUAAUGAUUAAUAGGGAUAGUUGGGGGCAUUAGUAUUCAAUUGUCAGAGGUGAAAUUCUUGGAUUUAUUGAAGACUAACUACUGCGAAAGCAUUUGCCAAGGAUGUUUUCAUUAAUCAAGAACGAAAGUUAGGGGAUCGAAGACGAUCAGAUACCGUCGUAGUCUUAACCAUAAACUAUGCCGACUAGGGAUCGGAUGAUGUUGAUUUUUUAAUGACUCAUUCGGCGCCUUACG